ACGAAGGGUGCAAGCGUUGCUCGGAAUUAUUGGGCGUAAAGGGUAGGUAGGUGGUCUCAUUUGUCAGGGGUGAAAGCCUUGGGCUUAACCCAAGAAGUGCCCCUGAAACGGUGAGACUAGAGUCUUGGAGAGGGUCGUGGAAUUCCCAGUGUAGCGGUGAAAUGCGUAGAGAUUGGGAGGAACACCAGCGGCGAAGGCGGCGACCUGGACAAGCACUGACACUCAACUACGAAAGCGUGGGUAGCAAACAGGA
rnacentral:rRNA from 1 species